UCGGAUUCAAACCCAUCAAACCGACCUAAUCACUGUCCUUAAAGCCAGCAAAGCACCCAUCUCGCCCCUCUUUUCCAUCUCGCGAGCAAUCUCGAAUUCUCGAUCUCGACCCUGCAACCCUAGAUUCCCCGAUCUCGCGCGCACCCCUAGUUUCCGUGAUCUCGCGCGCAACCCUAGCUUUCCAUCCGCUGCCAUGGCCUCAAUCGAGCCCAUGGCCCCGCGCGCGAACACCACCUGGUAUCUCGUCGACGACGACGACUUUGUCGAGGUCGCGAGGCGGCGGGACGCCGUCGCCAAGAGGGCCCGGGACGAGGACCUUCGCGAGGAGGCUGACGCCCGUGGAUGGUCCUCCGCGAUCCCGGACCGCAGCCUCCCCCUGCGCCGCCGCCGCGGUUCGGUUUCGCCCCCUUUCGCUCGCGCCACCACCUCCGUGGCUGUCACCGAGGAGCACAUCUGCUCCCGUGAAGUGGCGUCCUCGUCUGUGCUCCACGGUGAAGGUGAACGCGAGGGUAUCGCUACUGUUUGUGCCGAAACCUAUUUCCUGACCGUCCUGUAACGGAGGGUCAGACUGCAAUUUUGUGUUUUUACGAUUAGGCUCCCUAUUUAGUACAUGUUCUGGAUGAUUAGGCUCCCUACUUGUCGACGAGUAGUCUCUCUGCUUAGUACCUGUGGACGAUUAAUUUGGCUCUCUACUUAGUACCUCUGGAUGAUUAGGGUUGUUGGUUAGUAGUAUAUCUGCCUCAUAGGAAUUGGGAUUUGAAAGGGAGUUUUUUUUAGAGCCUUAAUUGAUUAAAAAAUGGAUAUUGAUAAAAAAAUUGGACAAAAAACUCAAAAAAAUGAUAAAAAAUUGGACAUUGACAAAAAAAAGGACAUAAAAAACUCAAAAAAAAAAUUGAUAAAAACUUGGGCAUUGCAUUUUCCAUAUAUCUUGAAAGUACUUUGCUAACUUUUACUAUAGCCAAGCUAGAAGGAUUGUUGGAUUGAACUUCACUUGUCAAAAGUUAUGUUCUUGCCAACUGCUGGUCCAUUUUCAACGUAUGCUUUUAGCUGAAGUUUAAUUCCUAUAGAGCAUCUAGUAAGACGAAUAUGAAAUCGUUAACUAACUAAUAAACGGAUAUGAGUUUUCUUAACGUCUCAGCAGAUUUUAUAGAGCAUCUACUUAGUACCUCUGGACGAUUAGGGUUGUUGGUUAGUAGUAUAUCUGCCACAUAGGAACUGGGAUUUGAAAGGGUGUUUCUUUAGAGCCUUAAUUGCUAAAAAAUUGGACAAAAAUCUAUUUUUUUUUAUAAAAUAUUGAACAUUGCAUUUUACAUAUAUAUAUAUAUAUAUAUAUCUUGAAAGGACUUUGCUAACUUGAACUAUAGCCAAGCUAGAAGGAUAGUUGGAUUGAACUUCACUUGUCAAAAGUUAUGUUCUUGCCAAACUGGUGGUCUAUUUUCAACGUAUGCUUUUAGCUGAAGUUUAGUUCCUAUAGAGCAUCUAGUAACAUGAAUAUGAAAUCAUUAACUAAUUAAUAAACAGAUAUGAGUUUUCUUCACUUCUCAGCAGCUUUUAUGGGGUGAAAUUCAGGUUUUGACCAUGCCUCCCGAACAUUUUAAGUACACUGUAGCAAGUUCUCCAUUAGGCAAUUAUUUGAAUGCUGAAAUUACAUGGUUACUGUUUACUGCCAGCCUGCCACUUAUGUUCACCUGCAAAUAAGAAGUUCGGUCUUUUUUUGCUGAAGCCAGGUGCGCACCAGUUAAUAGUUGAACAAAAUAUACCUGAAUAACUGCUUUUGUUGCGUUGUGGCAGUCUUUCCGCUGAAAAUGAUACUUUGUGUGCAUGCUUAAUCACUAUUUAUCUUUACAUUUGGCACUCAUUAUACAAUUUUAGAUUAUGUAAAUUUUGCUGUUCUGCCAAGUUCAUGUGUCCUGUCUGGAUUUUGUGAAUGAUUCUCAGUUCUUCGGAACAAAGUUACAUUGCUCUGCUCUAAAUCUUUAAGUCGUUUAUCUUAAUUGAUUGGUCUGAUUGUCUUCUUUGCAGGAUCAUGUACUGUAUGCAUUGUUUGAGACACUCUGUCUACUCCAUCCUGUCUUGCAGCUUCUUUUGUUACUUUGUAGCAGUCAUUUUGUGGAAAUGCAUAUUUGAUGCUUCUGCUAAUCACCGUUUAUCUUCAUGUUUGGCUCUCAUUUAUGGUGUUUUUCUUUAAUUACUCAAUUAUAUCUGUUCUGGCAAGUUUGUUCGUUCUGGUUGGGUGAUGUGUAUGAUUCUCAGUUUUUCACUAUUAAAAGGGAGAAGCUGAGACCCCAAGAAGGAUCAUGCGGUGCUCUUCUGUGUGCUAAUGCUUUGAGACACCCUGUUUACUCCAACCCUGUCGUGGUACCAUUUGUUUGAAGAUGAGUUGCAGAACAUGGUGAUCGGCUUUCGGUACAGAAGCCAUUGAAGAUUGAUUAUGGCUUCAGAGGAAGUCUCCAAGUUGCAAGAGAUUGGACACAACGGAGGAGCCAGUUCAAGAGUUGUGGCUGCACCUCCACGAUAAGACCAUAGGAGGCCAAUCUGGUCUGUGCUGAGGCAAGACAGUGGGCGGACGCGGGGGCCCGUGGACUUCACCAACUACUCCCCUAAAUUAGGUCUUUUUGGGUCGAGUUGUAUGGUGUGGUGUUUGUCCUUCUACGGACUUGUACAUAUAACCUUUUUUUUCUAUCAAUGCAUCGAAAUGCAAGGCUUUUGCGUUUUUUUCUGGUAUGCUGCAGCUUUAUACAGUCCUCUACUAAAUCCCUUCUUUGAAAUUACAUUUCCCUUCACAUUGUCUACCAAAUAUUGUUGAUGGGGUUUUGAGCCAGAAGCCCUUGAAGAUCGAUCUUGACUGCAGAGGAAUUGUUUUAGUUGUAAGAGAUUGGACAUAGUG